ACAGAGGGGGCAAGCGUUGUUCGGAAUUACUGGGCGUAAAGGGCGCGUGGGCGGCCUGCUAAGUCGAACGUGAAAUCCCUGGGCUCAACCCAGGAACUGCGUCCGAUACUGGUUGGCUUGAGUUUGGGAGAGGGAUGCGGAAUUCCAGGUGUAGCGGUGAAAUGCGUAGAUAUCUGGAGGAACACCGGUGGCGAAGGCGGCAUCCUGGACCAAUACUGACGCUGAGGAGCGAAAGCCAGGGGAGCAAACGGGA
rnacentral:rRNA from 1 species